UACGUAGGGUGCGAGCGUUGUCCGGAAUUACUGGGCGUAAAGAGUUCGUAGGCGGUUUGUCGCGUCGUUCGUGAAAACUUGGGGCUUAACUCCAAGCGUGCGGGCGAUACGGGCAGACUUGAGUACUACAGGGGAGACUGGAAUUCCUGGUGUAGCGGUGAAAUGCGCAGAUAUCAGGAAGAACGCCCGUGGCGAAGGCGGCUCUCUGGAACGCAACUGACGCUGAGACGCGAAAGCGUGGGGAGCAAACAGG
rnacentral:rRNA from 1 species